GCCCAUGUAGCUCAGUUGGUAGAGCGUAUCCUUGGUAAGGAUAAGGUCACCGGUUCGAUUCCGGUCGUGGGCU
rnacentral:tRNA from 1 species